CCUACGGGGGGCAGCAGUGAGGAAUAUUGGUCAAUGGGCGCGAGCCUGAACCAGCCAAGUCGCGUGAAGGAUGAAUGCCCUAUGGGUUGUAAACUUCUUUUAUCAAGGAAUAAAGUGAGGCACGUGUGCCUUUUUGUAUGUACUUUAUGAAUAAGGAUCGGCUAACUCCGUGCCAGCAGCCGCGGUAAUACGGAGGAUCCGAGCGUUAUCCGGAUUUAUUGGGUUUAAAGGGUGCGUAGGCGGGCCUUAAGGUCGGCGGUAAAAUUGCGGGGCUCAACCCCGCCGAGCCGUUGAAACCGGGGGUCUUGAGUAGGGGAGAGGUACGCGGAAUGCGUGGUGUAGCGGUGAAAUGCAUAGAUAUCACGCAGAACCCCGAUUGCGAAGGCAGCGUACCGG
rnacentral:rRNA from 1 species